rnacentral:rRNA from 1 species
UAAGGAAUAUUGGUCAAUGGACGCAAGUCUGAACCAGCAACGCCGCGUGAGGGAUGAAGUAUUUCGGUAUGUAAACCUCGAAAGAAUGGGAAGAAUAAAUGACGGUACCAUUUAUAAGCUCCGGCUAACUACGUGCCAGCAGCCGCGGUAAUACGUAGGGAGCAAGCGUUGUUCGGAUUUACUGGGCGUAAAGGGCGCGUAGGCGGCGCGGUAAGUCACUUGUGAAAUCUCUGAGCUUAACUCAGAACGGCCAAGUGAUACUGCUGUGCUAGAGUGCGGAAGAGNCAACCGGAAUUCUUGGUGUAGCGGUGAAAUGCGUAGAUAUCAAGAGGAACACCUGAGGCGAAGGCGGGUUGCUGGGCCGACACUGACGCUGAUGCGCGAAAGCCAGGGGAGCAAACG